AAGCAAAAGAAAGGCAUAAAGUCUAAUGAGUAUAGCUUCUGAGCUGGGGAAGCAGAAGGCAUGGGCAAUGAGAUUGGGGCCACACACAUGGCUGAAAAGAUUUGAGUUAAGAUUCCGUUAAAAAUUGAAAGCGAAUCAAAAGAAGAAACUUUGCAACCUUGGAGGCCCUCUAGUGCCCAAAUCAGAAUGUAUGGAAGAAUCCAGCCCACUGACUCCUUCCUCAGGACGAAGCACAGCACGACAGCCUUCAAGUUCCUAUGUGUAAAAGUGAUUCCUCUCGGCUGGGCGCGGUGGUUCACUCCUGUAAUCCCAGCACUUUGGGAAGCCGAGGCGGGCGGAUCACAGGGUCAGGAGAUCGAGACCAUCCUGGCUAACACAGUGAAACCCCCUCUCUACUAAAAAUAGAAAAAAUUAGCAGGGCGUGAUGGCAGGCGCCUGUAGUCCCAGCUACUGGGAGGAUGAGGCAGGAGAAUGGCGUGAAUCCAGGAGGCGGUGUCUGCAGUGAGCCGAGAUUGCACCACCGCACUCCAGCCUGGGCGACUGAGCGAGACUCCGUCUCAAAAAAAAAAAAAAAAAAAAGUGAUUCCUCUCUGUUAGUGAUCUGCCGCGUCUCAGAUACUUUACAAACAUUAUUGAUCCCCCCACGAUCACCUUGCUUGGUGGCAUUUUUUUUCUCACAAGUUUCAGAUGAAGAAACUGAAGUCACAGAGAUAAAGUGACUUGCUCAAGGGCCCCAAGUGAGUCAAUCCCCAAAAUCUCCUUUGUGA
rnacentral:lncRNA from 1 species